rnacentral:rRNA from 1 species
AUUGAACGCUGGCGGCAUGCCUUACACAUGCAAGUCGAACGAGACCUUCGGGUCUAGUGGCGCACGGGUGCGUAACGCGUGGGAAUCUGCCCUUUGCUACGGAAUAACUCAGAGAAAUUUGUGCUAAUACCGUAUAAUGUCGAAAGACCAAAGAUUUAUCGGCAAAGGAUGAGCCCGCGUAGGAUUAGCUAGUUGGUGAGGUAAAGGCUCACCAAGGCGACGAUUCUUAGCUGGUCUGAGAGGAUGAUCAGCCACACUGGGACUGAGACACGGCCCAGACUCCUACGGGAGGCAGCAGUGGGGAAUAUUGGACAAUGGGCGAAAGCCUGAUCCAGCAAUGCCGCGUGAGUGAUGAAGGCCUUAGGGUUGUAAAGCUCUUUUACCAGGGAUGAUAAUGACAGUACCUGGAGAAUAAGCUCCGGCUAACUCCGUGCCAGCAGCCGCGGUAAAAC